ACUCGAGACCUCCUCGAGCACGAGAUCGCGUGACUUGCCGCUCGCGUCAAUACUUGCCAGUAAAAUCCAUCGGAAUCUGGAUCGGGGUAUAACUGCCGAAUUCAAUGGAAGCUUCCGAGAGUAACAGCUGAUCCCUUCCACGUCGGUCAGCGCAGCGGCGACCACAACCCACCCGGCCGCGGCGGCCCUCGUCCUGCCGCGGUCGCCGUCGCUGCACGCGCGUCACCGCAGAGGCAGCAGGCACGACCGGGAGCGGGCCGGUUUGGAUGUGGCUGGAGAAGGUGAGGGGGAGGGAGCGCGGGGAGCUGCGCGCCCGGAGGUUCGAGGCCGCCGCCCGGGCGCGCCGCGCGGCCUCGCUCGCGCUCUCCAACCGCAAGGAGUUCGCCACCCCGCACCACGGCGCCGUCAACUCGCUACAGGUUGAUUUGACAGAGGGGAGAUACCUGCUCUCCGGGGCAUCGGAUGGGUCGGCCGCUGUAUUCGAUGUGUGGAACGCGACCGAGUACGAAACCGGCUUCAUAGCGAAGCACAGGCACAUACUGCUUGUGGACAAGCAGCACCAGAAUGGCCACAAGUUCGCCAUUUCGGCGGCAGUUUGGUAUCCUGUGGAUACCGGGCUGUUCGUCACAGCAUCCUUUGAUCAGUACGUCAAAGUUUGGGAUACCAAUUCGACUCAAGUCGUCAUGGAUUUUAAGAUGCCUGGUAAAGUGUUCACUGCAGCCAUGUCUCCAAUUGCAACAACGCACAUGCUUAUCGCUACUGGGAGCGCAGAUGUUCAGGUCCGUCUGUGUGACAUAGCUUCUGGAGCAUUUACCCACACAUUGUCCGGUCACCGUGAUGGCAUCAUGUCCUUGGAGUGGUCUGCCUCAAGUGAGUGGGUUUUGAUGAGUGGUGGCUGCGACGGGGCAAUACGUUUCUGGGACAUCAGGAGAGCUGGAUGCUUUCGUGUUCUUGAUCAAUCACAGUCUCAGCUUGGAAGGAGAUCUCCUCUUCUUGAAAGCACAACAGAGAAUGAUCACAUUGAUUCCAUAGGACCUUCAACUUCCACAAGGAGCUUACCUCACAAAAGGACCGGAAAUUCUAAGAAGAACUCACCAACAAUGCGCAAAUGUCAAAAUCUGAUACAUGGACAUUUGCAACAGAGAUUGCAUCCUGGUUUAUCAUCCAGUCAAAACCGUGCAACAUCUCAUUAUGGUGCUGUUACUGGAUUACGAACAACUAAAGAUGGGAUGUACCUACUUAGCUCAGGAUCUGAUUCUCGUUUAAGACUAUGGGACAUCGAUUCAGGAUGCAACACUUUGGUCAAUUUUGAAGCUAUGCGAUUGCAGACUGGCAAGCCGUUGCAAUUAGCAGUCACUGAUGAUCCAUCACUUGCAUUUGUUCCAUGCAUGGCAAGCAUCAAGGCAUACAAUUUAUGGUCUGGUACGACAUUUCGGGCAUUCCGGGGUCACUACGAGCUUGUGAAUUGCUGCUACUAUAGUGAACAGGACCAAGAACUUUAUACUGGCAGCAAUGAUAGACAAAUUCUUGUAUGGUCUCCAUCAACUCCAGCUUUUACUGAAAUGGAAGAUGAUGAGAAGCGGCAUGGGCUUUCUGCAGCUGAUGAGGAUAACUGGAGCGACUGAGAAGGCCAACCUUUUUUCCCCGAAAGCGGAAGGAUUGUAUUCGUGUAUGCUACAUUGAUGUGACGGAUGCCAACAAGUUUGAGGCUGUCAGCUCUUGUUAGCAGCCCGAGGAGGUUGUCAAGUUAUUCUGCGCUGGAGCCUUGUUCCAUACACUUUGAAACGAUUGUGCAUGAUGAUACUUCACCCAAAGUGCGGAAAAAAAAUUGCUUUGAGGAAAUUGGCAGGAGGUUUUUUGA